CUUCAGUCAUCUGUGACGGUCAAAGAGAAGAACUAAGUAUACACGAUGUCAAGAGAUGGAUCCAGACCAGACGAUUGGGACAGCCUGGGGUCCUACCAGAAGCCCCAGUCCACAGCAUCCCGAAGCUACACCGACCGACGAUGACUCCACCUGCCAAACCACCACGGCAGCGGCAGGAAUCUACCAUCGAGCUGUACCAACUGGGAUCCACUUCCUCGGAGGCGCCAGAAUGUUCAGAUGAACCUUGAACAUGGUUGCUCAGCACUACAGAUGCUGGGCACGCGACCUACUAAGAUUCCGCUGACGCGCCGUAAUACACGGACAUCAUACAAAGACAUUUAUGUGAAUGUGUGUGUUAAAUGAAUUAGUAUAAAUAGCUAGGUUUUUUGUAAAUAAAUUUGUCUUCCACUA